GCCGAAAUAUCCACCGGGAUAACCGUCGAGGUAACCAUUGCAACCGCCCAGAUAACCACCGAGGUAACCACCAUUACAACCUCCAAGAAAACCACCAUAGUAACCGCCGAGAUAUCCAUC